UUAAGGAUGUGAAGUUGGGAUUAAGGGUGUAUAGAUUAGUCCACUGAUUAGAAUUAGCAUAGUUCUGAAUGGCAUCACCCAAAAGGCAGGUGGCCUGGAUGAAGAAAGAAGGGAGGCCUACUGCUCCUGCUGAUGCUUGCUGCCUUCUGCCUGCCCUGACAAGCCAUGGAUUGUUUUUCCUCUGUGAUGCCUCUUUGCCAUGCUGCCCUGCAGUGGAGCCAGUCUACUAUGGAAUAAAACCUCUAAAAACUAUAUGUGUCUUGGGGGCAAAAGCUGACCAAGUCCUACAGGUAACUGUGAAGAUCUGAGGAAUUCCUCAUUUCCAUUCAUUGCCUGCUUAGAGAACUCAAUAUCCUGGACCUCCUCACCCCAACUAAAGAUCAUAAAUCCAAUGAGAAAACCUUCAGAGAAGGGGAUAAAACAAUCAGUGUAGAGCUGCAUCUACCUAAAUGAUGGCUAAUAGAUCACACUUAGACUCUGAUUAGAAGAUACCUUAUAUGUGCUGACAGAAGUUGCCACAUAUUCUAAAGUGUCAUGGCUCAGAUCUAUAACGUACCUCAGAAGGUUCAUGUGUUCAGAAGUGAGGCUUUGGAAAGGCAAUUUGAUCACAAGAGUGUUGAAGGGACCUUUAGGAGGUGAAGCCUGGUUGGAGAAGGUAGGUAACUGGAAGCAUGAGCUCAAAGGAUGUAUUUUUAUCCUGACCCCUUCUCUCUGUCCC